GACCAAGUCCCAGCCCCUUCGGGGUCAGUUGCCCCCAACGUGCCAAGGGUCGAGGUUUUGUGGCCGGCAGGGAAGGCAGCACUAAGGGAAGGCGACGGUUUUACCCUCCACUGCCAGGCUGCUGCCCUGCGACCCAUCGCUGGGGACGUGUGGCUGCCAGAAGCCGGGCAGGAUUUACGUGUUGAGAAGGCAGCCGUCUGAGCCCCGAUCUCGUGGCUGCCAUCCUGCUCCUCAUCGUCCUCGUUAAUGUGGGGGCUCGUUACCCGCUCGGCAGAGGCUGGCGGCAGGAGGGGGCUGCGGAGGGUAAGAGCCAGGCUGGGCGGAUGGGAACAGGGAUGGGGAUGGAGCAGGGGGGUGGUGAUUUGGGGGGCUGGUGGGAGACCUAGGGGAAUACCGGGGUGUAGCCAGUGAUUUUAGCUGAUUGUGAGGUUAUGAUUCAUUAACAUGUCACGUCCCAUACAAUCACUGUCUGCUCAGUAGAGUUAAGGGACUGGACUAUGGAGGUCUACAACCAAUCAGGAUUUCGAAGGAAUAAGCGCCUGUUUGAGAGCUAAGGCAGGAAGGCUGAAACGCAAGGCCUGUCAGCCAAGGCCUGCAAGGUUUUAGCUUCGCUGUUUUGGGCCUCGGAGCUAAGAAACGCUGACAGAAGUAAGUGAGCGAAGAAAACCCCAAUGCCCUGAGAUGCUGGGCAAAGAGGCACCAAGGGGCAAUGUUACAAACAAUCAGCCGGAAGAUUAACUUUAAAUCGCAAAAAUGCUGCAGCGGCACAUCUGGCUCCAACGUGUGUCUGCACCACCGGCUACUGGUUGUGUGUCAGUGCUAACGAGAACAAAGAGAACUAGACACGGCCUAUAGAAACUGGGGGGGCCUUUAGUCUCUAGGGGACACAGACCCCGAAGGAAAAAGAGGGGUGACACUUUCACAUACACACACAGAAGGUCGCUAGAGGAAGACUCUCACCCCAACCUCAACCCCAUCCGGGAGCUAAGACCGGAUGCCUCUAUUCCAUGAGGGUGUAGGGGCUGGGAGCCAGGACUCCUGGGUUCUAUCCGUGGCUCCAGGUGGGGAGUGGAGUCUAGUGGUUAGAGUAACAGAAGAGCCCAGAACUCUGAGCCCACUUGUGUAUAAGGGGCUCCGAUUCACCGCCGUGCCUCAGUUUCCCAGCAGCACAGCGGGAACCCAGAGGCAUGCCUGCUGUCAGGUUUUGUGCAUGACCACAGGCCGGGCAUGGUGCAAUCCAGAGUCAAAGGCCCCGGCUGCUCCUUGCAUUUGAUUUCCCACUUGGGGGACGGGGGGACGAAGAGCCCUGAGAACGCCUCUCCCCCGCUGCUGAGCAGUGCAGGGCACCAGAGCAGCUGUUUCUCCCGCAUCAAGGGCCACUGGCUGGGCCUCGGCCGGAGUAUUUUUGUGUCAGAGACGCUGCCACUUCCUCUGGGCUUUGAGCAAACCAAGGUGGGGGGAGGACCUGGGAGAGCAGCCUCAGGGUGUGAGAACCGGCAUCGACUAUUCCUGCCCUGCGCCCGCCACACAGCGCCCCCUAGCGUCCCCACCCUGCUCCCUCCGCAACACAGCGCCCCCAGU